rnacentral:rRNA from 1 species
GACGAACGCUGGCGGCGUGCUUAACACAUGCAAGUCGAACGGAAAGGCCCUGCUUUUGUGGGGUGCUCAAGUGGCGAACGGGUGAGUAACACGUGAGUAACCUGCCCUUGACUUUGGGAUAACUACAGGAAACUGGGGCUAAUACCGGAUAGGAGCUCCUGCUGCAUGGUGGGGGUUGGAAAGUUUCGGCGGUUGGGGAUGGACUCGCGGCUUAUCAGCUUGUUGGUGGGGUAGUGGCUUACCAAGGCUUUGACGGGUAGCCGGCCUGAGAGGGUGACCGGCCACAUUGGGACUGAGAUACGGCCCAGACUCCUACGGGAGGCAGCAGUGGGGAAUAUUGCACAAUGGGCGGAAGCCUGAUGCAGCAACGCCGCGUGCGGGAUGACGGCCUUCGGGUUGUAAACCACUUUCGCCUGUGACGAAGCGUGAGUGACGGUAAUGGGUAAAGAAGCACCGGCUAACUACGUG